GUCCACGCCGUAAACGAUGUCAACUAGCCGCUGGACGCUUUAUAGUGUUUGGUGGCGUAGCUAACGCGAUAAGUUGACCGCCUGGGAAGUACGGCCGCAAGGUUGAAACUCAAAUGAAUUGACGGGGCCCGCACAAGCGGUGGAGCAUGUGGUUUAAUUCGAUGCAACGCGAAGAACCUUACCUACUCUUGACAUCCUGGGAACUUGGCAGAGAUGCCUUGGUGCCUUCGGGAACCCAGAGACAGGUGCUGCAUGGCUGUCGU
rnacentral:rRNA from 1 species